GCAGCUUGGCCUGUUUCAUCAGCUCACCUCGUUGCCUCCCGAGGGUCCUCCUGGACAUGAGGUGCAACUGAGGACAGAGUUAUGCAUGACAGAUUCCUCCACUGAACGCUGGCGCCUCUUGGAGGGAUACUCCAUGGAGUAGCCACGGCCACGCUUGCUGUUUCCAGCCAGCGCAGCUGCGAGCUCGUGCUUCUGUCCAGGGUGCGCCUAAUAGACCAAAA